ensembl:miRNA MIR128-2 microRNA 128-2
GGGGGCCGAUACACUGUACGAGAGUGAGUAGCAGGUCUCACAGUGAACCGGUCUCUUU